AUACGGAGGGUGCAAGCGUUAUUCGGAAUCACUGGGCGUAAAGGACGCGUAGGCGGGUUGGCAAGUCAGAUGUGAAAUCCUACAGCUUAACUGUAGAACUGCAUUUGAAACUGCUAACCUAGAGUAUGGGAGGGGGAGAUGGAAUUAGUGGUGUAGGGGUAAAAUCCGUAGAUAUCACUAGGAAUACCGAAAGCGAAGGCGAUCUCCUGGAACAUAACUGACGCUAAGGCGUGAAAGCGUGGGGAGCAAACAGGAGUAGAUACCCCAGUAGUCC
rnacentral:rRNA from 1 species